GCUUCAGUUAGCUUAGCAGCUAUAGCGUUCUCCUAGUAAGCGGAAGAUCGCGCAUUCGAUCAGCGCCAGAAGCA